GGAGGCCCAGCCGUGAGAUCCCGAGGAGUUUCCACUUGGUGAUCAGCACUGAACACAGACCACCAGCCAUGGAGUUUGGGCUGAGCUGGGUUUUCCUUGUUGCUAUUUUAAAAGGUGUCCAAUGUGAGGUGCAGCUGGUGGAGUCUGGAGGAGGCUUGGUCCACCCAGGGGGGUCCCUGAGACUCUCUUGUACAGCUUCUGGAUUCACCUUUGGUGAUUAUGCCAUGAGCUGGGUCCGCCAGGCUCCAGGGAAGGGGCUGGAGUGGGUAGUUUCAUUAGAAGCAAAGCUUAUGGUGGGACAACAGAAUACGCUGCGUCUGUGAAAGGCAGAUUCACCAUCUCAAGAGAUGAUUCCAAAAGCAUCGCCUAUCUGCAAAUGAACAGCCUGAAAACCGAGGACACGGCCGUGUAUUACUGUGC